rnacentral:rRNA from 1 species
AACCAUUGGAAACGAUGGCUAAUACCGCAUACGCCCUAUUGGGGAAAGAUUUAUCGGUGUUGGAUUGGCCCGCGUUAGAUUAGCUAGUUGGUGGGGUAAUGGCUCACCAAGGCGACGAUUUAUAGCUGGUUUGAGAGGAUGAUCAGCAACACUGGAACUGAGACACGGUCCAGACUCCUACGGGAGGCAGCAGUCGGGAAUAUUGUGCAAUGGGGGCAACCCUGACACAGCCAUGCCGCGUGAGUGAAGAAGGCCUUAGGGUUGUAAAGCUCUUUCAGAUGUGAGGAUGAUGACGAUAGCAUCAGAAGAAGCUCCGGCCAACUUCGUGCCAGCAGCCGCGGUAAUACGAAGGGAGCUAGCGUUGUUCGGAAUUACUGGGCGUAAAGGGCGUGUAGGCGG